CGGCGGACGGGUGAGUAACGCGUGGGUAACCUACCCUGUACACACGGAUAACAUACCGAAAGGUAUGCUAAUACGGGAUAAUAUAUUUGAGAGGCAUCUCUUGAAUAUCAAAGGUGAGCCAGUACAGGAUGGACCCGCGUCUGAUUAGCUAGUUGGUAAGGUAACGGCUUACCAAGGCGACGAUCAAUAGCCGACCUGAGAGGGUGAUCGGCCACAUUGGAACUGAGACACGGUCCAA
rnacentral:rRNA from 1 species